rnacentral:lncRNA from 1 species
AUGUCUUAUGCCAGCGAUAUGUGUAAUAGCAAAGUUUUAGAAAGAACCAAAAGUACAGCAGCAAAGGAUUGCUGUAGAGGUCAUAGGAUAUUAUUAGACGUGAAAAUGGUUUUCGCGACGCAUUUGCAAUUACCCUGCAGAUGGUUAUGGCGCGUUGCUACACAAGUAAAGCAGAAGUCAGAUCGUACGACCUCAAUGAUAAAACACCAACAGGUAACGGUAGUGCUAUGUGAACUGCGCGGCCAUCCUCACCAAGGACCCUGUUUCUGAAAUCAGAACACAGUCUGCAGAAGCUGGAGUUCCGUCUGCGCAGGUUCUCCUCCUCUCUGGGCUUGUCUUCAUCUGUGAAAUGUUCAGUCUGCACUUGGUGACCUCUCAGGUCCCUUCAGCGUGAGUCAGAGCUGGCGACCAUCACUGGAGCCCAGUGGGAGGAUGCCUCUGCCCAAAUACCCAGGGAACUCGAGCUGAUCCAGAAUGCCUGCGUGGGACGGCUCAGGGCUAGGCCUCUGUUAGUGGGACUUCCUGCUCUCUGGCCUUUGUCCCCAGAGCCCGUGGCACCUGCCAGGGGCCUUCAUCACUGGUGAGACUAGUGUGAGGGUUGGUGCUUUGGAUUCCUUUCUAAAAACAGAAAAUGGGGGUGCCUGGGUGGCUCCGUGGGUGCAGUGUCUGCCUCAGGCCCAGGCCGUGAUCUCGGGGUCCUGGGAUCAAGUCCUGCCUCCGGGCUCCCGGCUCAGCACGGAGCCUGCUUCUCCCUCUGCCUCUGCUGCUCCCCCUGUGUGCUCAAUCUCUCUCUCUCUCUCUCUGUUAAAUAAGUAAAUAAAUAAAUAAAUAAAUAAAUAAAUAAAUAAACAAACAAACAAAAUCCUAAAAAAAAAAAAAGGCCCCAAACCAGAAGGCAGACACUGCCCCGCCCCGCUCCAGCCCGGCACGUUCCUGGGGCUCAGCCCCCCUCACUGAGCCACCACGAGCCAGUGGGCGUCAAAUCCAGCAGGAAGAUGGGGCAUGAUUUACAAGAAGCACAUGUUCUUAAAGGUCCCUCAAAAUGUAGCUAGUUUGCAGCACUCAGGCUGCCGCGGGGUUGGAGGACGUCGUGUAGGAACAGGCACGUCCUGUGACAAAACGGGGGGGCUCCCGGCCUGCGGUUCCCUGGCCCAGGGCCCUGUGUGGCCUCUCACUAAUGCCGCCUGCAUUUUAAAGGGCAGAGUUUUGCUCCCCUCACCCCCCUCAAAACGACACGAAUAAUAUUCACCGCUCUCUUAGACGACGCAGGUGGC